rnacentral:rRNA from 1 species
UACGGGGGGAGCAAGCGUUGUUCGGAUUUACUGGGCGUAAAGGGCGCGUAGGCGGUCGUGACAAGUCACUUGUGAAAUCUCCGGGCUUAACUCGGAACGGUCAAGUGAUACUGUCGGACUAGAGUUCGGUAGGGGAGUCUGGAAUUCCUGGUGUAGCGGUGAAAUGCGCAGAUAUCAGGAGGAACACCGGUGGCGAAGGCGGGACUCUGGGCCGAUACUGACGCUGAGGAGCGAAAGCGUGGGGAGCAAACAGG